AAGUGUUACAGCUCUUUUAUAAUUUGUGUAGCAGGCUUUUGGGCUGUUGCCAAAUGAUCCAGU
rnacentral:snRNA from 2 species